rnacentral:piRNA from 1 species
UAGAUGUGUCGCUUCCAUGUCAGA